rnacentral:lncRNA from 1 species
GACCUCCAAAGGAAAGCUCGUCAGUUGAUAAGAAAAUUCAAGAAGCUGGAAGACGAACUUCGCCGGCCGAGGGAGAGCCAUUUAGAGGCCACCGCAGAGGCUACUCACUUUCGGGACCUCCACAAGAAAAGUUUCAUGGAAUACACCAAAAGGAAAGCUGACUUCAUCACGGAGCUUGAAGAACUCCGUAAACGUGCCAG